GCAUCCCAGGGUGGGAAUUAAGUUUUGGUCCAAUUUGGUAAACUUAGUACAAUGUAAUAAUUUAGGUAAAUACUCAAUUCCUUUCAUUUUUCAGAUUUCUUCUCCCUACUUCUGCUCCUAUGCAACUUGGCCUCUGGGGAUUUGGCAAUGGACAGAAUCUGUGGCUCAUCAGUUUUGUGGCACUGUCAGCAGGAUAAGGGGCCUUUUGAAUCCUCACUGGUCACUGUGGCAGGAGGGUUGUUGUCUGCUCUCUGCACGGGACCCACUGAAGAAGCCAUUCUGAUGGUUAUGUGGAAGUAUCUCAUUAUAAUUUAGAUUUAAAUUGAAUGGAUGAAUACAUAUCAGUCAAAUCACACAGCGGACUACCAUUCAGCCAAAGAGAAAGAACAACAUGUAACUACAUGCAACAAUAUGGAUGAAUUUCACAAAUGUAAUUGAUGGAAGAAGCUGGACACAAAGGCAUAUAUACGGCCCUGAGGAUGAAUGUGUGAAGAAAACGGACAAGAUCCUUGCUCUCAUGGAGCUUACAUUCUGGCUGGGGAAGAGAGAUCAUAAGUAAAUAUAUAAACAAGAAAAUGAUCAGAUACUGGAAAGUGCUAAGAAGAGAAUUAAAGCAAGUGACAGAA